AAUAAGAAAAAACUUACUUUACAAACACAUCAAAACUAUAUGAAAGACAGCAGUUGAGACUCCAGUUUGAAGCAACAAAGAGGAUGGAAUAACCAAAUUUCGUGAGGUUAUCCAAGUUAGAAUUUAAGAAAAAAGGGACUCAAAUGAGUCACGGGAGCAUGCAACAGGCGCAGACACCUAAUAGAAAGUCAGUAGAUGUUUGCACUCAGCAAAGAGUAGAUCAUGUGACCACCUAAACUAGGUUCAAACUUGUACAACCAACAAUGCAAUGGAUUACAAGUUACAACAGCGCCCCUGCAUUAGUUUAUCUGAUAAAAGUAGCAGGCAAAUUUCUUCGGGAGUACUUCAGAACACAUUCAACACUUGGCUCAAAUCCUAUCAAUCCCAAAUACCAUACAAACAGCUUAUCAAAGUUGUACUUGUACGAGUUAGCACCAAUUUAGGUGUCAACUUGCAGAAGUCGAUACUCCCAGAACCCCAGCAAACUCAAUUCAAACAGUAAGAACAGACAGAAGAUAAGAAGAUAAAUCUCUCUACCUAAUGUCUUUCAACUUUGAUAACAAUGUAAUAGUCAUACAAGCAUUAUUACAUCCCCCGGACUUCUCACGCCUUACUCAAUCCUAAAAGACUUAGGUUGGCUUAGUAUAAAAGGCCAUAAAAAAGUUGAACCCAGGCUGCACUUAGAGAGUGACUUGUUGAAUGAGGUGCUCAACUGCAAAUCUAAAGGUAUGAUUUUAUAUGUAAAAGAAUAAUACCAUUCCUAGUUAAAUUGGAUAUUUAAAAUUUUGAAAUACCUUGUAGACUCUUUUCAUUAUCUUUUAGCAAUAACAAGAAGAGAUAACUUCGGUUUUCUUUACCUUCGAUAAGAAUAUUUCCCUAUUUUGGUUCGAAUGAGAUUCAAGGCCCUUAUUUCACGAGUGAUGAAAAUCCUUCGUUGUCUGCCCUUCAAAGCUAUACCAAUAUGUAACUAAGAGCAGGUAAUGCUAUUAUUUCAUUGUAAAAUUAAUUUACAUUAAUCGAUGCUGGAUUUUCCAUUGCAGUACUGUAGAAACUGACUUCAAGUAGUUGGAAUUAUUAUAAACAUUGAACAUAAACUAAAGGCAGCAUUAUUAACAUAUAAGUAUCAAGAAAGUUAUAAUUUCUCAACCUGUAUUCAAUUACAUAGAUUCUAGUAUUAUUUGAAUAAUUUGAAAAAAAAAAACCAAGUAUCUUUUAGGAAGGAGUCUAGAAUUAAUUAUUGGUUCUUAAAUUAAAAUGGAAUUUAUGCAAUCCCACUUAUCAACUUUAUUGCGCCUGAAUACAGCCAGAAAGCACCUAAAGGAGAGUAACUGACUCAAAAAGUGCCAAAAAGCGGGAAAUACAAAGUUCACAAGAGUUGGUGAAAACUACGCAGACUGCUUAAUUGUGGUUCCUCAUAUCUGUGCUUAUUUCAUUUUAUUGAUUUCCCAAAGGCCAUCUCUCGCUUCGGCAAGAAAGAGUCUCCACCAGACAAGAUGGCCAAUGUAGUACCAGGAUACAGAGGACAUGGUGAGUUCCAAUUCCUAAAAAUGAUGGCUGAGGAGAUCGAAAAGGGAUAUAUACCAGGUUCAACUUUCAGACCAGAAAGCCAGGUUUAUGUGUUCAGGAAGUUUCGUGCAGCAUUUGGUGCAAUUUAUUCAGAUCGUUUUCUGAGGUCGAGAUUCAAACACCUUAAGAAAAGGUACCAAGAGUUCUCAGAACUGCUGAAUCAGGAGGGAAUUUACUGGAACAAGAAGCAAAAUGUUGUUCAUGGCAAUGAGACAAUAUUGAGGACGAAAUACAAGGCUCGUUUCAGGAAUGGAGUGUACAUUGGAGAACAGAAUUUUGACCUCAUGUGCCAGAUCUUUGAAAGUGGAGUUAAAUUCGAGUAAUGCAAACUGCUGGUACCCAUGUGUGGUACUUUAACCUUGUCAGAAUAAUUUGAUCUUUUCCCAAUAAUUUUCAUGUUUUGUUAAAAGUUCUGGUAUUCAAACACCAUCAGUCUGAAAAUUCUAUCAACCCAAUGCUUGUAUGACACUCAGACAGUCAACAUUCAUACAAGCUAGGACUUUCUCUUUUCUUUAAUGAGAAAAUAACGGUCUACAGGUGCACAUCUCUUAUCCUUCAGUUUGCAUCUUAUUAGUUCUCCCCACAGUCAAUUUUGGUCAUAGUAAAUUAGUUAUGACAAACUUUAUAAAGGGAACGGUUAACAAUCAAUAGGCCAACAUCCAUAAACAAAUUAGACCAAACCAAUCUCUCUCUUGGGCUUAUCAUGGUGUUAUGGAUGUGUAUUAUGUGUUCUUUUUUUCCCAAUUGUGUCAUAUUAUAUAUUAAUUGAUAAUCAAGGAGUAUGUCAGGCUGCUGCAGCAGUCGCUUCAGGCUGACGAUGUAAAAGGACUAUUACAUAUUCUAGCAGUCAUUGCACCAGUAAGUCUCAAGGUCAUUCGGCCAUCGGUGGUAACACUAUUUCUGCAGCCUCCGCCAAACUUGUCGUGGCCAUGUAAAUAGCAUUUUACAGUUAUCUGGAGUAUUAUCAUUUGAAACCCACAAGUUACAAUACAAAAACUAGCACUACCUGAUUUCCGUGUUCAAGGAAAAAUCAGUCACACGAAAAUUACAACUCUACUUGCACAUAUUCAGUUAAACCUAUAAAGCAUUUAAAAACAAAAAACACCAAAAUUAUAAUAGUCUGACUACAAACAACAAUCCGCACGGCCAAAUACAUACAAAAACAAAUGAAGAAAAAAAGAAGGCAAAGUGCAGUUCAAACCAAUAUGAAAAUCAAGUAAGGUUCAAG